GGGGGGGGGGGGGGGGGGGGGGGGGGGGGGGGGGGGGGGGGGGGGGGGGUGCUGGAGUAGGGCAGUGGUUCUGGGGCAGGGCAGUGGUGAUGGAGCAGGGCAGUGGUUCUGGGGCAGGGCAGUGGUUCUGGGGGAGGGCAGUGAUUCUGGAGCAGGGCAGUGGUGAUGGAGCAGGGCAGUGAUUCUGGGGCAGGGCAGUGAUUCUGGGGCAGGGCAGUGGUGCUGGAGCAGGGCAGUGGUUCUAGAGCAGGGCAGUGAUUCUGGGGCAGGGCAUUGAUUCUGGAGCAGGGCAGUGGUGCUGGAGCAGGGCAUUGAUUCUGGAGCAGCGCAGUGGUUCUGGGGCAGGGCAGUGGUUCUGGGACAGGGCAGUGAUUCUGGAGCAGUGCUCUGGUUCUGGAGCAGGGCAGUGAUGCUGGAGCAGGGCAGUGGUUCUGGGGCAGGGUAGGACAGUGAUGCUGGGGCAGGGCAGUGAUUCUGGGGUAGGGCAGUGAUUCUGGAGCAGGGCAGUGGUUCUGGAGCAGGGCAGUGGUGCUGGAGCAGGGCAGUGGUUCUGUGGCAGGGCAGUGACGUGGUUCUGGAGCAGUGCUCUGGUGCUGGAUCAGCACUCCGCCGUGGCUCUGGAUCAGCACUCCGCCGUGGUCCCGCUGCCCGGUGCCGGUCCGUGCCCAUCCUCUCCGCCGCCCCGCAGCCCCGGGAGCAGCAGUAGUGGCACAGCUGUCAGCACUCAUUACUGCCAGCGCCCGCAGCCUGGCGCCAUCCCCUGACAUUGCCACGGGCAACCUGCCUCCAUUUACAGCCAGCUGCACCAUUACAGCGCUGCUGCUAACUUCCGAGGAGAACUUUAAAUGAUUGAGCACUCUGCCGGGGAAGAGAAGGCUUUUUGGUCGUUAAUAAUUCAGGGCUUAGACACUUUAUUGUCUUAAGAGGUGUGCUGGUUUGAAUAGCACAGGGAGCUUUCCAUGCAUCCCUUCUAGAUGGCACAUCUGUCUUGGGAGGAUGGAGACCCA
rnacentral:lncRNA from 1 species